UUCAUCUUUUGCUAAGGUAUUACUUUUUUUUUCCUUUUUCCCUUGUUUUUCUUUUUGGAUGUAAAAUAAAUAGUCCAUACAGAAAAUGGAAAGUAAUUGUGUAAGGACUGAAGACCUUAAAUCAUAUAAGUGGAAGGAGUAAAGAGAAUUCGGGUUCAAAGUGGAAACAGCACCUUAGUGCAGCAAAAGCCCCCCAGCCUGGCAGGAUUUGGCAUUAUGGAGUGCAAUAGCCAAGGGAAUGAGUUGGAAGAGGCUAAAGUUGCCCAGGAUUUGCACCCACAGUGUGUGAUCUUGAUCCUUCAGGGACAAGGCAAUGUGAAGGGAGAAUGAAUGUACGUGAGGGAGCAAAGAGAAGGCAUGGGAUCAAGCCAUAAGGAAUUGGGAGCAAAGAAGGCACUUAGAUUCCAGGAGCGGGAAGUUUUGGAACAGGAGCAGACAGAAGAUAUUGCCGUGGUUGGGCUAAAAGUGAGACAGAACUUUUCCCUUGCUCCUGAGGGAUGUACAUUGGGAACAGGCAAAAGGUGGGUGCAUCCAAAUCACGAGAAGGUUUUGCUAUAAAAUGAAAACAUA
rnacentral:lncRNA from 1 species